CCGGCUGUGGAGAAGGAG
rnacentral:miRNA from 1 species